CGACAGCAGCCACCUGGAGAAGGCUCAGGCGGCGGCGUCGGCAGCUGCGGGGGCCUUGCGCCUCGCCACGCCCCUUUACUGCCUGCGCAGAAACCAGGAGCCGGACAGGCCCUGCGUGCGUGUGACGUAGCUCCUCUCCCGCGGACGACGGCCUGCGCGCCGCCGGGACAACGUCGGGGGCCACGCCCACAGGGGCGGGGCUUAGCUGCGAACCACGUGGGCGAUCCAGGCGGCGCUCUGCCUAGUGAGAAUCUGAGGCCAGAGGUGGGCGGAGGUGAGCCUCAGGUGAUCUGGCCGGGCCGAAGAUGGCUCUGCCGAAAAAAUAGUCCUCGAUUUCAUGGAACUUACUUUCUAGUGGCAGAGAUUACAUAAACUGCCUGCACGCCUCUGCCUCCAGAUGUCCCACCUGUUUGAGCCAGGCCAAUGUAAAGGGCUCCUCAUGCUGCUCUCCUGCUCCCAGAACUAAAUACAAGAAACCACUGCACCUCAGCACCCUGAGAACACACUACACUGUCUUUCUCUGGGUCGGUCACUCAAUCUCAUACAUAGUAAUAAACCACAUUAAUUAUUUC